rnacentral:rRNA from 1 species
AUGAACGCUGGCGGCGUGCCUAAUACAUGCAAGUCGAGCGAACGGACGAGAAGCUUGCUUCUCUGAUGUUAGCGGCGGACGGGUGAGUAACACGUGGAUAACCUACCUAUAAGACUGGGAUAACUUCGGGAAACCGGAGCUAAUACCGGAUGAUAUUUUGAACCGCAUGGUUCAAAAGUGAAAGACGGUCUUGCUGUCACUUAUAGAUGGAUCCGCGCUGCAUUAGCUAGUUGGUAAGGUAACGGCUUACCAAGGCAACGAUGCAUAGCCGACCUGAGAGGGUGAUCGGCCACACUGGAACUGAGACACGGUCCAGACUCCUACGGGAGGCAGCAGUAGGGAAUCUUCCGCAAUGGGCGAAAGCCUGACGGAGCAACGCCGCGUGAGUGAUGAAGGUCUUCGGAUCGUAAGACUCUGUUAUUAGGGAAGAACAUAUGUGUAAGUAACUGUGCACAUCUUGACGGUACCUAAUCAGAAAGCCACGGCUAACUACGUG